AAAGUACUCCCUCCAUCCCAAAAUUCUUGUCUUAGAUUUUUCUAGAUACGGAUGUAUCAAGUCACAUUUUAGUAUUAGAUACAUCCGUAUCUAGACAAAUCUAAGACAAGAAAUUUGGGACAGAGGGAGUAGUUG
rnacentral:pre_miRNA from 1 species